ACCUCUCAAAACAAAAAAUCUUGGUAAAACUUCAAAUACCCCUUGUAGUUUUAUUUUUUCUUACUUUACUAUUCUAUGGUUAAAGUGUAUCAAGUUAGUACCAUGUGGUUUUGCAUUUUUUCACUUUAAUACCAUAUGGUUUAAAGUGUAUCAAGUUAGUACUCUGUGGUUUCACACUUUAUCACUUUAGUACCAUGUGGUUUCGCAUUUUAUCACUUUAGUACCUUGUGGUUUAAAAACCAUAGAGUACUAACUUGAUACAAAAUAAAACCAUAGGGUACUAACUUAAUACAAAAAUAAAAUUACAGAGUAUUAAUUUGAUGUACUUUAAACCAUAGGGUACUAAAAUAAAAAAAGUGCAAAACCACAGGAGAAUUUUUGAAGUUUUUCCAAAAAUUUUCAUAGAGUAAAAAAGU
rnacentral:lncRNA from 1 species